GACGAACGCUGGCGGCGUGCUUAACACAUGCAAGUCGAACGGAAAGGCCUGCUUUCCCUUGUGGAUUGCGGGUGCUCGAGUGGCGAACGGGUGAGUAACACGUGAGUGAUCUGCCCCCAACUUGGGUAUAAGCCUGGGAAACUGGGUCUAAUUCCCGAUAGGACUGCAGGGUGGUGCCUGUGGUGGAAAACGAUUUUCUAGUGGUUGGGGAUGGGCUCGCGGCCUAUCAGCUUGUUGGUGGGGUAAUGGCCUACCAAGGCGGCGACGGGUAGCCGGCCUGAGAGGGUGGACGGCCACAUUGGGACUGAGAUACGGCCCAGACUCCUACGGGAGGCAGCAGUGGGGAAUAUUGCACAAUGGGCGGAAGCCUGAUGCAGCGACGCCGCGUGGGGGAUGACGGCCUUCGGGUUGUAAACUCCUUUCGACCGCGAGGAAGCCACCUGGUUGGAAGGGUGGUGACGGUAGUGGUAGAAGAAGCACCGGCUAACUACGU
rnacentral:rRNA from 1 species